GAGUGGCGAACGGGUGAGUAAUACAUCGGAACGUGCCCAAUCGUGGGGGAUAACGCCGCGAAAGCUGUGCUAAUACCGCAUACGAUCUACGGAUGAAAGCAGGGGAUCGCAAGACCUUGCGCGAAUGGAGCGGCCGAUGGCAGAUUAGGUAGUUGGUGAGGUAAAGGCUCACCAAGCCUUCGAUCUGUAGCUGGUCUGAGAGGACGACCAGCCACACUGGGACUGAGACACGGCCCAGACUCCUACGGGAGGCAGCAGUGGGGAAUUUUGGACAAUGGGCGAAAGCCUGAUCCAGCCAUGCCGCGUGCAGGAUGAAGGCCUUCGGGUUGUAAACUGCUUUUGUACGGAACGAAACGGUCUUUUCUAAUACCCAAGGCUAAUGACGGUACCGUAAGAAUAAGCACCGGCUAACUACGUGCCAGCAGCCGCGGUAAUACGUAGGGUGCAAGCGUUAAUCGGAAUUACUGGGCGUAAAGCGUGCGCAGGCGGUUAUGUAAGACAGUUGUGAAAUCCCCGGGCUCAACCUGGGAACUGCAUCUGUGACUGCCUAGCUAGAGUGCGGUAGAGGGGGAUGGAAUUCCGCGUGUAGCAGUGAAAUGCGUAGAUAUGCGGAGGAACACC
rnacentral:rRNA from 1 species